GCCCCUGUAGCUCAGAUGGCUCAGAGCGCUUGCCUACUAAGCUUGAGGUCGCUCGGUUCGAAUCCGGCCAGGGGUUCCA
rnacentral:tRNA from 1 species